UACGUAGGGGGCAAGCGUUGUCCGGAAUCAUUGGGCGUAAAGCGCGUGUAGGCGGCUUGGUAAGUCCGUUCUGAAAGCCCGGGGCUCAACCCCGGGAGGCGGAUGGAUACUGCUGAGCUCGAGUCCGGAAGAGGCGAGUGGAAUUCCUGGUGUAGCGGUGAAAUGCGCAGAUAUCAGGAGGAACACCAAUGGCGAAGGCAGCUCGCUGGGACGGUACUGACGCUGAGGCGCGAAAGCGUGGGGAGCAAACAGG
rnacentral:rRNA from 1 species